GAAAUGCGAUACUUGGUGUGAAUUGCAGAAUCCCGUGAACCAUCGAGUCUUUGAACGCAAGUUGCGCCCGAAGCCAUUAGGCCGAGGGCACGCCUGCCUGGGUGUCACACAUCGACCUGAACUCAGACGUGAGCACCCGCUGAACUUAA
rnacentral:misc_RNA from 1 species